rnacentral:rRNA from 1 species
AUAAACGCUGGCGGCGCACAUAAGACAUGCAAGUCGAACGGAAGUCGUUAUACAAGGAGAGAAGAUUUAUCGGAUUGAAUUAUAUAACAAUGGCUUUAGUGGCGGACUGGUGAGUAACGCGUAAGAAAUCUACCUAUUAGAGGGGAACAACAAUGAGAAAUCAUUGCUAAUACCGCAUAUGCCAUAAACAUCGCAUGAUGAAAGUGGGAAAGGAGCAAUCCGCUGAUAGAUGAUCUUGCGUCUGAUUAGUUAGUUGGUGGGGUAAUGGCCUACCAAGACGACGAUCAGUAGCCGGACUGAGAGGUUGAACGGCCACAUUGGGACUGAGAUACGGCCCAGACUCCUACGGGAGGCAGCAGUCGGGAAUAUUGCGCAAUGGAGGAAACUCUGACGCAGUGACGCCGCGUGCAGGAAGAAGGUUUUCGGAUUGUAAACUGCUUUAGACAGGGAAGAGAAAGGACAGUACCUGUAGAAUAAGCUCCGGCUAACUACGUGCCAGCAGCCGCGGUAAUACGUAGGGAGCGAGCGUUAUCCGGAUUUAUUGGGUGUAAAGGGUGCGUAGACGGGAAUACAAGUUAGUUGUGAAAUACCUCGGCUUAACUGAGGAACUGCAACUAAAACUAUAUUUCUUGAGUGCAGGAGAGGUAAGUGGAAUUCCUAGUGUAGCGGUGAAAUGCGUAGAUAUUAGGAGGAACACCAGUGGCGAAGGCGACUUACUGGACUGAAACUGACGUUGAGGCACGAAAGUGUGGGGAGCAAACAGGAUUAGAUACCCUGGUAGUCCACACAGUAAACGAUGAAUACUCGCUGUUUGCGAUAUACAGUAAGCGGCCAAGCGAAAGCAUUAAGUAUUCCACCUUGGGAGUACGCCGGCAACGGUGAAACUCAAAGGAAUUGACGGGGGCCCGCACAAGCAGUGGAGUAUGUGGUUUAAUUCGAAGCAACGCGAAGAACCUUACCUGCCCUUGACAUCCGAAUGACCGGUGAGUAAUGUCGCCUUUCCUUCGGGACAUUCGAGACAGGUGGUGCAUGGUUGUCGUCAGCUCGUGUCGUGAGAUGUUGGGUUAAGUCCCGCAACGAGCGCAACCCCUGUUUCUAGUUGCCAGCAUGUAAAGAUGGGAACUCUAGAAAGACUGCCGUAGAUAAUACGGAGGAAGGUGGGGAUGACGUCAAAUCAUCAUGCCCUUUAUGUCCUGGGCUACACACGUACUACAAUGGCUGUAACAGAGGGAAGCGAACCAGUGAUGGUAAGCGAAACCCGAAAAGCAGUCACAGUUCGGAUUGAAGGCUGAAACUCGCCUUCAUGAAGCCGGAAUUGCUAGUAAUGGCAGGUCAGCAUACUGCCGUGAAUACGUUCCCGGGCCUUGUACACACCGCCCGUCACACCAUGAGAGUUGGGGAUACCCGAAGCCUGUGAGCCAACAGUUAAAUGGGGCAGCAGUCGAAGGUAGAAUCAAUGAUUGGGGUG